rnacentral:tRNA from 1 species
AGCCCGGUCGUCUAGCGGUCAAGGAUUCCGGGCUUUGGACCCGGAGACGUGGGUUCGACUCCCACCCGGGCUA